rnacentral:lncRNA from 1 species
CGGUUGAUGAUGACGCUAAUGGUUCGCACCACGGCUCAAACCUUGCGUGAUCAUUCCGCGUUCCUCGGUCGAUCUCGUUGGAUCUGGAUUCGCGAAUCCAGAAGCUUCUACCCUCCUCUUCUCUGGAAUCCUCCUCUUCCUCCCCGGCCCUUUAUGACACGAAACCGUCCCGUUUAACGCCGAUGUGAAAAGCCCAAUCCGAUUCUCGAAGAGAAAAGAAGAGAAGAAAGAAGAAGGCAUAUGGCGGACUCCACCUUCUUUGGUGAUCCAUUCCGCCGCUUUUUCUGGAGCCCUCUCGUCUGGUCCGGAUCACCCUCCGCCCCCGCCGCCAUGGACUGGCUCGAGACCCCUUCCUCCCACAUCUUCAAGAUCGACGUCCCAGGUACCGAUUCUUUCCUCUUCG